UACAGAGGGGGCAAGCGUUGUUCGGAAUUACUGGGCGUAAAGGGCGCGUAGGCGGCCUUCUAAGUCGAACGUGAAAUCCCCGGGCUCAACCCGGGAACUGCGUCCGAUACUGGAAGGCUUGAAUCCGGGAGAGGGAUGUGGAAUUCCAGGUGUAGCGGUGAAAUGCGCAGAUAUCAGGAGGAACACCGGUGGCGAAGGCGGCUUGCUGGGCCAGUUCUGACACUGAGGCGCGACAGCGUGGGGAGCAAACAGG
rnacentral:rRNA from 1 species